AGUGGACGCUGGCGGUAGGCCUAACACAUGCAAGUCGAACGGCAGCACAGUAAGAGCUUGCUCUUACGGGUGGCGAGUGGCGGACGGGUGAGGAAUACAUCGGAAUCUACUUUUUCGUGGGGGAUAACGUAGGGACACUUACGCUAAUACCGCAUACGACCUACGGGUGAAAGCAGGGGAUCUUCGGACCUUGCGCGAUUGAAUGAGCCGAUGUCGGAUUAGCUAGUUGGCGGGGUAAAGGCCCACCAAGGCGACGAUCCGUAGCUGGUCUGAGAGGAUGAUCAGCCACACUGGAACUGAGACACGGUCCAGACUCCUACGGGAGGCAGCAGUGGGGAAUAUUGGACAAUGGGCGCAAGCCUGAUCCAGCCAUACCGCGUGGGUGAAGAAGGCCUUCGGGUUGUAAAGCCCUUUUGUUGGGAAAGAAAAGCAGCAGGUUAAUACCCCGCUGUUCUGACGGUACCCAAAGAAUAAGCACCGGCUAACUUCGUG
rnacentral:rRNA from 1 species